rnacentral:tRNA from 1 species
GCUCGGCUAGCUCAGUGGUAGAGCGCAAGGCUUUUAUUUAACGUUAGGGCCGAUCGCGGUCGUUAUCGGCCCAUCCAACAAAUUCACCUUGUGGUCGGCGGUUCGAUCCCGUCGUCGAGCA